rnacentral:sRNA from 1 species
UUCUGUUCAGUUUUUUUUUUUUUUGGUUUUAGGAAAUGUUCA